CCCAUUCUUUAGAUUUUCUUUUUUUUGGACUUAGAAGAGUCCAACUGUAAAAUCCAAAGCUUUCAUUUUCCCUCUAGCCAAAUAUCCUAUAAAUCAAACUUGCCAUCGAGUUAGGAAUUGAAAUCUUGAUUUGAUUUUAAUGUCAAUAUCUUGACACGUUCUAGCAAUAAAUUUGAGACCAUGGACAAACCGAGUUCUUCUUAAGGGUUGUUUGAAAAUAUACUAAACCUCAAAGUACAAUGCAUUUUAUCUACUUCAAAAUUGGGUUAGAUUCUCUUAAUGACCAAAGAGUCUUUUAAUGAGCGUUAGUGUUUCAUGAAUCUACUUCAAAAUUGGGUUAAAUUCAUGAGACACAUGUUUCAAGUGUUGUUUGGUGAAUCUACUCAAAUUUAAAAAAAUUCCUUGUACUACCAUCUUUAAUUUGUUUCAUGAGUGAUGAGUCACACAACUCUUGUCAUUCCUUCCUGCCACCUUGUACACCAAAUUGGCCGGCCAGGCCGCCCGUCAGUUGAUUGGUUGCGAAUUGAUUAAAAAUAUUAAAAAAUAAAAAUAGUUAAAUAAAACUUCAAAAUAUAUUUAAAAGUAAUUAAAAGUCUCAACAAUAUACAACAAACGCACACCUUCAACAAUAUAAAAGAUGGGUAGUUGGGAUCGCCAAAUAUUCUAUUUUUUUUUAUAAAUUUAAAUGAUUUAAUAAUUCAUUUAAUAUAACAAAGUUUAUAAAUCAUACACAAAAUCAAAUAUAAUUUCUUAUUUAAAUUAUAAAAUACAAGAGGGGCUAAUAUCUUAUUUAAAUUAAAAAAUAGUUUAAAAUAUUUUACACUGAUUUAAAAAUAAAAAAAUGGAGGGAAUCGGCUGAUACACACUGAUUCAACCAACAAGGAUUACUAACAAUAACUUAAGGGGCACGUUUGAUGAGCAUGAAAUAUCAUACAGCACCCGAACUAAAACUUAAAUUUUGAAAAUUUUUUUAUCACCUUCUCAUUUUUAUGUUAAAUGUUUAGAAAAAAAUUAAUUGUUUUUGUGAGUAAGCGAGACUUCGUGCAAAAGUUGGGGGUAUCAUUGUGGUGUUUGAAAAUUUGAGCGGCUGUGGGCGCCUAUUUAUAAUUUUUUCAAAGUAAGAAUGAAAAGGGGUCACAAUAAAUCAAGAAGUUCAAGAAACACUUCUCAACGGCCAUUCUGUUACGAGGGCUUUCUUUUUCCCGCCGAGUUCCCGGAAAGAAAGCACCCUCUCCUUCUCUCUCGAUGGGAGGAGUUUGGAUCUUCGAUGGCGCGACGAUGGAGGAGGCUGGAUCCUCGAUGGUGCGACGAUGGAGGAGGAUGCAGAUUGCAUCGGUGGGUUGCCGCAGUUCAUCCUUCCAAAUUACGAGCAGCAGCUCCUAUCCAUCAUCCUUCCGCUGGUCGAUCUUUAUGAUCAUUACUUGGAAGGGAAGGGGAGGGGGGGCAUCUAAAAGGUCGAGAGACAGAGUAGCGAAGUGGAGAAGAGUUCGAUCGGCCUCGUCCCUCGCUCGUCGAUCCAUCGAUUCGCGAUUUCACUAUUUAGUGAUCGAUCGAUCGGUCCGUCUCCUUCGCUUUGGAUUACGUGUUCGACGAGACUUGCACGAACUUGAGCGUUUAUGAGCAUCACACGAAGGAUGUCAUCCAAGCGGCAGUCAAGGGAUUCGAUGUGGACUUGAUUGUUUGAAGCUUUCAACAAAUUGUGGGCAGAUCUCGAAGAGGCUGGUCUUGCUGUGAAGAAGGAAUCAUCUACAUCAAGACUACCAAGAUGACAGUGUGGUGGGGAGGUCAUAGAGCCACUCGUCGGUAAGCAGUGGUAUGUAGUCAUGGGGCCUUAGUGCACUGGAAAACGGGGAUAUAUCUAUCAUUCUUGAGAGGUUUGAAAAGUUCACAAUGGCGAUCGAGGGCGGCGACGAUCGCAUCAAGAGGAUCUCGACGGCGAUCCGUGUGAUCCCAAAUUUUCCCCAAGCCCGGUAUCUCUCUCUCUUUCUCUUGAGCUCGGCUUCUUGAUUACUU